rnacentral:miRNA from 1 species
AAGUUAAUCUCUAAGUCUAAUGU